UUGAUAAAUGGAGGGCGAAAUCACGGAGAGUAGGAGGAAUUCCCGACGAGAGGCGCUGCUACUAUGGAAAAUCGCGAAUGGUGUGUGGUGUGUGUUUUUCGCGAUUUGGAAGAUGAGGGGCUGCUAUAACAGUCUGUAAAAACCCGCCAUUGGGGUUGGCGUUUUUUAUGUAAACCCGCCAAUGUAGUUGGCGUUUCUGUACUUAAAGACGCCAACUUCGAAGGCGUCUUUUAGAAAAUACGCAAUUUCCGUCGGUGUUUUUUAUUUCAUAAACACGCCUUCGCAAUUGGCGUUUUUAGGUAGUAAACGCCAACACAAUUGGCGUGUUUUAACGUAACUGUAAUGGGAGACAAUACGGGCAAAAUACGAGACAUUAUAAAACGCCAUCUUAGUUGGCGUUUUCACUAAAACAAAACGCCAAUGAGGUUGGCGUGUUUCCUAUAACUGGAAUAGAUAACAGAGUGGGUACAUUUGCGUAACUUUAAAGGCCAAUUGGCCUAGAAACCCGAUUUUCUCCAAAUCUAAGAUAUCCGUACUUUUUAAGGCCGUCGCGCCGGAGCCGGAGGAAGCUCUCACCACCAUCACCGGCAGCAAGACCGUCGAUCCUGAGCCCAAUAGCUCCACCGAUUAUCUCGAUCAAUAGAACCCUUGGACUUCUGCACUACCUGAGCUUGACAAUAUGAGGAAAUUGGUGACCAAGGGCAAGGUUCUGGUGCCAAUGGACUGAUGGAGCUCCUAGAGUAUUUCCUGGUGAGGAUGAAGCUUACAGGGUAAUACUUCUACAUCUGCAGCAGUGGGUUAUUUAGUCAUAUUUCUUCUCGUGUCUCCCCAGUGUUUGUUAAGAAGUUCAAUGUUCUAAGAAUAUCUCUUUCUCUUAUUACUAUAUUAAAUACUACUACUAGCUUCUAUCA